rnacentral:rRNA from 1 species
AGCAUAAUCACUUGCCUUUUAAUUGAAGGCUAGUAUGAAUGGACAAACGAGGGCCAUACUGUCUCUAAAAUACUUAAUAAAAAUUUAUCUUUUAGGUGAAGAGACCUAAAUACGAAAAAAGGACAAGAAGACCCUGUUGAGCUUUAUUAAUAUAAUUAGGCCUGACAACUUUAAGCAUCUACUAUCCUAAUAUAUAAAAUUCAGUUGGGGCGACUAAGGAACAAUAAAAACUUCCCUACUCACUUUAGACCUUCUAGUCUUCAUCUGAUCCAAAUUUAUUGACCAAAGAAUUGAGCUACCACAGGGAUAACAGGCUAAUCCUCCUUAAGAGCCCAUAUUGACAGGAGGGAUUGGCACCUCGAUGUUGGCUUAGGGCCCCCAAGAAGCGCAGCCGCUUCUAAAGGUAGGUUUGUUCAACCUUUAAU